ACUCCAAAUAUCGAAGCGUUCGACUCAGCUGUUUCCCGCCACCCAGAAUUCUCAGAAACCAAUUGAGAGCCAUCAUACCGUGUUGUGCGUUCGGUUCGCUCGCUCAGAGGACGCUCGUCCGUUUCGUGCUUGUUUUUCUGGUGAGCUGCUAACAGCUACGCGCAUUUGCGUCCUGUCGACGAGAAAAGUAAUAUCAUUUAUCAGCGCUGUGUGGCGUAUGGUAAAUGCGUGGCGUUCGUGUAUCCUUAAGCUGCUGGGUGGAAGAGUGUGGAGUGUGUAAGUGAAAAGGAGCAGAGCGCAUUCUACGGUGGCCUAAUUUGAUGUUUUGAUUCAGUGUUUAAAGAUACGAGUGCAGACAGAAAGAAAAGAAGAAAAACCUUACUGCAAAACAAUUGUUUAACGGCUCGUGUGUUUUAAGUGAAAAAGGCAUGGUAUCCGCUCGGGUUUGCAACCGGUGCAAGCAUAAAGGCAGUGUGCUGUGACGCAAACGCGUCUAUAUGCUGUUUUGGCGAGCAUCCCGCCACGGAUGAUGUCGUUGGUGGACGUUUGGAAAAGAAACGAAGAAUCUCAAACGCAGAGUGAGCACAAUAAGUUUCAAACCCAGUACCCAGCAAACCAUAUGCAACUGGACACGAUGCAGGAUAUCAUAUGUGAGGAAGAUACAGUGAGAAAACGAAGAACAGAAUAGCCUGAUUGGAUCUAUCCGGAAGCUCCCGGUGCGGUGGGGUGUUACAAAUAGCGCGAAGAACAUUCUACCAGAAAGCGCGCGCGUUUUUUGUUCUAUAAAGCAUUUCGAGAAAGAACGGAGACUGCAGACGGAUUGCAUAAUUCUCAUUCUACUCGGUUGAUCAUCCGCAUCAUCAUCUGAUUUACAACAGCGCAUUGAUAAAUGAAAAG